rnacentral:tRNA from 1 species
GGGGUCAUAGCUCAAAAGGCACGAGCGCUUGCUUUGCACGCAAGAGGUCAGGAGUUCGAUUCUCCUUGACUCCA